rnacentral:rRNA from 1 species
UGAAUACGAGACGCUAAGGCGUCGAAGUAGUGUAUGUCAUACUUCCAAGAAAAGCUUGCACUGUCAUAGAUAAAAAACGCCUGUACCAUAACCGACACAGGUGGGUAGGUAGAGUAUACUAAGGGGCGCGAGAUAACUCUCUCUAAGGAACUCGGCAAAAUAACUCCGUAACUUCGGGAGAAGGAGUGCCUUAUUCUUAAGGUUGCAAUAACAAGAUCCAAGCAACUGUUUAUCAAAAACACAGGUCUCCGCUAAGUCGUAAGACGAUGUAUGGGGGCUGACGCCUACCCAGUGCCAGAAGGUUAAAGAAGCUGGUUAGCAUUUGCGAAGCUAGUAACUGAAGCCCUGGUGAACGGCGGCCGUAACAAUAACGGUCCUAAGGUAGCGAAAUUCCUUGUCGGGUAAGUUCCGACCCGCACGAAAGGCGUAAUGAUUUGGAUACUGUCUCGGAGAGGGGCUCGGUGAAAUAGACUUGUCUGUGAAGAUGCGGACUACCUGCACCAGGACAGAAAGACCCUAUGAAGCUUUACUGUAACUUGAAAUUGAAAUUGGACUUUAUUCGCGCAGUAUAGGUGGGAGGCGUUGAUUAUAAUCUUGCGGGAUUAUUGGAGCCAUUAGUGAGAUACCACUCUUGUAAUGUUAGAUUUCUAACUUUGAAUCAUUAUCUGGUCAAAGAACAGUUUCAGGCGGGCAGUUUGACUGGGGCGGUCGCCUCCUAAACGGUAACGGAGGCGUACAAAGGUUUCCUCUGAACGGUUAGAAAUCGUAUCUAGAGUGUAAAGGCAUAAGGAAGCUUGACUGUGAGACCUACAAGUCGAGCAGGGACGAAAGUCGGUCUUAGUGAUCUGACGGUACUGAGUGGAAAGGCCGUCACUCAACGGAUAAAAGUUACUCUAAGGAUAACAGGCAGAUCUCCCCCAAGAGUUCACAUCGACGGGGAGGUUUGGCACCUCGAUGUCGGCUCAUCGCAUCCUGGGGCGGUAGUACGUCCCAAGGGUUGGGCUGUUCGCCCAUGAAAGCGGUACGCGAGCUGGGUUCAGAACGUCGUGAGACAGUUCGGUCCAUAUCCGGUGUAGGCGUUAGAAUAUUGAGAGGAGCCUUCUUUAGUACGAGAGGACCGAGAAGGACAUACCUCUGGUGUACCAGUUAUCGUGCCAACGGUAAACGCUGGGUAGCUAUGUAUGGAGUGGAUAACCGCUGAAAGCAUCUAAGUGGGAAGCCCACCUCAAGAUAAGUAUUCUC